rnacentral:rRNA from 1 species
GGGUCAGUAGGUUGGUCGUGCCACCGGUACGUACUGGUCUCACUGAUUCCUCCUUCCUGAAGAACCGUAAUGCCAUUAAUUUGGUGUUGCGGGGAAACAGGACUGUUACUUUGAAAAAUUAGAGUGUUUAAAGCAAGCUAACGCUUGAAUACAUUAGCAUGGAAUAAUGAUAUAGGAUGAUCGAUCCUAUUUUGUUGGUUUCUAGGAUUGACGUA